rnacentral:rRNA from 1 species
UACGGGGGGGGCAAGCGUUGUUCGGAAUUACUGGGCGUAAAGGGCUCGUAGGCGGCCAACUAAGUCAGACGUGAAAUCCCUCGGCUUAACCGAGGAACUGCCAUCCAGACUGCUUCGCUUGAGGCCGGGAGAGGUGAGUGGAAUUCCCAGUGUAGCGGUGAAAUGCGUAGAUAUUGGGAGGAACACCAGUGGCGAAGGCGGCUCACUGGACCGGUUCUGACGCUGAGGCGCGAAAGUGUGGGGAGCAAACGGG